AUCCGUUUUCUUACAGGAAAUCCCCAACCAACGAAAAACACAUGGUCUAUUUUUCAGUGCAGUGACUCAAAGGAAAGUCAUUAUUAUUAUACUUGAUUCUUUUUCCGUGUGAAAGCAAAACCCCUCUCAGUGUGCGGGUCGGGUCCGGUCCCCAGUAGUCAGAGCAAGACCCAGAAUAAUAAGAAUAACCAAGAUAAGAGGCGGUAACAAAACAAUGAAAAUAAGACAUCUCAUAAGGCCUAAUAAAAGAAACAAAUAUUUGACAAUAACUACCUAUUCUCUUUUUGACAAUAACUACCUAUUCUCUUUGUCACAGAUAAAGCAUAGUAGGAUAAAGGCGGGCUCAGUUUGUGAUGGAGGAGAGGCAGAGACAAAUACAAAUGUCGAUGUUAGUAAGUAAGAGUUCGGUGCUUGCUAUAGUACGAGGAGCAGUAGUAACAGUUCGGAACAAGAGAAGAGGA
rnacentral:lncRNA from 1 species